AAGACUAUAGACCUGCGGAGUACCUGCGGAAGGAUCAUUACCGAGUUUACAAAACUCCCAAACCCUUUGUGAACCUUACCUAUCGUUGCUUCGGCGGGACCGCCCCGGCGCCCUCGCGGCCCGGAACCAGGCGCCCGCCGGAGGCCCCAAACCCUCAUGUCUUUAGUGGUUUCCUCCUCUGAGUGACAUAAACAAAUAAAGUAAAAACUUUUAACAAUGGAUCUCUAGAUCGGAAGAGCA
rnacentral:misc_RNA from 1 species